GGCCCCAUCAUAGCUCAGGCGGCAGAGCACGGGUCUUGUAAACCAGGGGUGAGUUCGAUCCUCACGGGGCUU